UACGUAGGGUGCAAGCGUUGUCCGGAAUUAUUGGGCGUAAAGAGCUCGUAGGCGGUUUGUCGCGUCUGCUGUGAAAACUCGGGGCUUAACCCCGGGCCUGCAGUGGGUACGGGCAGACUAGAGUGCGGUAGGGGAGACUGGAAUUCCUGGUGUAGCGGUGAAAUGCGCAGAUAUCAGGAGGAACACCGGUGGCGAAGGCGGGUCUCUGGGCCGAAACUGACGCUGAGGAGCGAAAGCGUGGGGAGCGAACAGG
rnacentral:rRNA from 1 species